UACGUAGGGAGCAAGCGUUGUUCGGAUUUACUGGGCGUAAAGAGCGCGCAGGCGGUCGUUCAAGUCGCGUGUGAAAGCCCCCGGCUCAACUGGGGAGGGUCACGCGAUACUGAUCGACUGGAAGGCAGGAGAGGGUAGUGGAAUUCCCGGUGUAGUGGUGAAAUGCGUAGAUAUCGGGAGGAACACCAGUGGCGAAGGCGACUACCUGGCCUGUUCUUGACGCUGAGGCGCGAAAGCUAGGGGAGCAAACGGG
rnacentral:rRNA from 1 species